UACGUAGGGUGCAAGCGUUGUCCGGAAUUAUUGGGCGUAAAGAGCUCGUAGGCGGUUUGUCGCGUCGGCCGUGAAAACCUGGGGCUUAACUCUGGGCGUGCGGUCGAUACGGGCAUCACUGGAGUUCGGCAGGGGAGACUGGAAUUCCUGGUGUAGCGGUGAAAUGCGCAGAUAUCAGGGGGAACACCGGUGGCGAAGGCGGGUCUCUGGGCCGAUACUGACGCUGAGGAGCGAAAGCGUGGGGAGCGAACAGG
rnacentral:rRNA from 1 species